AAUGCGUAAAUGAAGGAUUUAACGCCGACUUCCAAGCCACAACGCUCGUUAAAUGCUUUUUCUGUCAAUGCUGUGUUCGCUGUGAGCUGGUUUGUUUUCAACGAAUUCCCGGUUGCUUGGGGGUUGGUAGGCGGAAGUGACGUAGGUCCGCCCUCACCUAUACUCACAUAUGACCUUGAAGUGCCAUCCCAUUCCUAACCCAUAGGGUUCAAUAUGAUGUCGGUCCACCUUUUGCAGCUAUUACACCUUCAACUCUUCUGGGAAGGCUGUCCACAAGGUUGCGGAGUGUGUUUGUAGGAAUUUUCCACCAUUCUUCCAAAAGCGCUUUGGUGUUCUAUCAGGUUCAGGUCAGGACUCUAUGCCAUACUUGCCAACCCUCCAUGGAUUGGACCAUGAAUUGAUUACGUGGACCCCGACUUCAACAAGUUGAAAAACUUAUUCAGGCAGGUAAUGCUAGCUAGCUCGCUGAGGCAGUGACAGCAGCCAAGACAGAACGAACGGAUGGCAGAAAAAAAUCGAGCGGCAAUGAGUUUGAC